UGACUCUGUUUAACGGCCGCGGUAUUCUGACCGUGCAAAGGUAGCGUAAUCACUUGUUCUUUAAAUAAGGACUAGUAUGAAUGGCCCCACGAGGGUUAUACUGUCUCCCCCCCCUAAUCAAUGAAACUGAUCUCCCCGUGAAGAAGCGGGGAUAACACUAUAAGACGAGAAGACCCCAUGGAGCUUUAAACAAUAUAGCACAUGUUAACCACCCCCCCCCCCCCCAGUUUAACAUCCUGUCUAUUAGUUUUCGGUUGGGGUGACCGCGGAAAUAAAACACAACUUCCACGAUGAAUGGAGACAUCCUUAACUAAAAGCUACCACUUUAAGUAUCAGCAGCCUGACAUCCAUUGACCCAAUACAAUUGACCAACGAACCUAGUUACCCUGGGGAUAACAGCGCAAUCCAUUUCAAGAGCCCCUAUCGACAAAUGGGUUUNCGACCUCGAUGUUGGAUCAGGGUACCCAAGUGGUGCAGCCGCUA
rnacentral:rRNA from 1 species